GGUAGACUUCCAACAUGUUAUUUACAAUGCUAUGAAAUGUUAUUUGUCCUACUGACAUAAAGGUAAAUCAAGGAGCAGGUAGUCACACUAACUGAAAUAUGUUGGUGGUAAAACAGGCAUUCGUAAACUCGAACUUGUAGUGCAUCGUGAGGAGAAGACGUUAUGAUGGUAGAGCGUCGGAACCGAGGACAGUCAAUGGAUACUGAUUCCAAUUCUGAAAUGUCGUGCUGUGCUAGAGAAUCUACAAAGGAGGUUUUGAAGAACUUGACAAUCAUGGUUCCUGCAUUCUACAUGGUUCUCUACUCUCUGUCAUCAAUCAUUCAUGCAAUUUAUGGAUUGUCAUUUCACAUAAGAGCACCAUUUCAUACAAAAGAGUGUUGCUUGAAAGGGAGUGCUUACCAAACUACUGGGAUCUCACUGAUUGCAACAUAUUUUGUAGCAGCAAUUUUAUUUUUACUUGUUACCACCAAGUGUCUUUGGGAUCACAUUGCUACUGUCACAAUAUUUCACAUAUUGGUGACAUCAGCAGUUAUGGUUGAAUUUCCAACAAACUGGGAAUGGUGGGUAGCAUUAGCAAUUGGAAUCUUUGUGGGUGUCUUUUUUGGAGAAUCUUUUGCGUUUUGCAUCAGAAGAAGAAAAGUUAGACAACUAGAACCAAUCAGAACUAACAAUGUAAGAAGUUGAUAUGGUGUUUGCAAAACUUUACCUUUGAUUAUUUGUAUUUAGAUGUAAAACUCUUCUAUGGCAAUCAACUGUUUUACCAUGUUCUGGCCAUUAAAUUCUCAAUGAAUGACACAUCAGGCAAACAUAUAUUUGAUAAGCGGAAUUGAAAGACAGCAUCAGAUUUGCUAAACAGAAUUGAAAUACAGCAUUGCAAAUGGAUUUCAGAUUUAUAUUACCUGGUGCUUGAAAAAAUGUUUUUUCAAAAUAGAGAAAAAGCAACACUUUUUAUUGUUGAGGAGACAAGCAAGAUAUAGUGUUUUGAUGAGUGAGGCAACACUCUGUCCUGGAGUAAAGGAGGAUGUACAUGGAAUAAAGCUAUAGGGAUGUUAUCUGGCUCUAAGAGGGAGGGUUGCCUCACAUAUUUGAAGGUCUUCUUUGCUCACCUCCUAAACAAUUUUAAGAAAUUGGUUUGUAAAUGUGGCUUUUUUAUAAGUCACUUCCCAUCAAAUAUCUCUAAAGGUUGUUUUGAAAAAUAUUUCAUGAUUAAUUGAAGAAUUCUUUAGUAAAUGCUUUGUAGAUAAGUAAAUAUAAAACUACAUUUUGUUGUACCGCUACUGCAUUGCUUUCUUAGAUUGUAAAAUUGAAACCUAAAGAUGUAUAAUAGCAUGUACAUAUUUAGAGCACAUUUAGAUUUUAGAUGUAUUGUAUUUAUAGAUAGCUUAUUUAUUGUAAUGUUUUGACAACCAUUCUUUUUCAUUCUUAAAUCCUCAAACUGCAAGUUUCUCCAUAGUGCAAUUAUGCUGUGGACAAUGAAAAAUUAAGAAAAUACUUUCAGAGUGAGAAGUGCUGUAGUUCUUCAUUAUGAAGGUGCAACAUUUCCAACUAGCAUUACUAUAUCACAAAAUGGCUCAAGGAUCAAUCAAAUUUGUGCAUAUCUAGUCCUUUUUUGUGAUUUAAAAAACUAAGAUAUCCUCCCAAUACAACUGUAUUUUUACAUUCUAGCAGUAUAGACUCUGAAAAAUUCAUAAAAGAUUAAAGUUUGACAAUUUUAACAUUGACUGAAUUUUUAAUAUCCUGAAAUUUUAAUAUUUACAUACCACACAGUCUGUAACUUGCUUACAAAAAUUUAAAACAAGGUAAUGUAGUAUCCUUAAAAAAUAGUUGUUGUCUAGUCAAUGAGAAGCUCCUUCUGUCUUCUUACAGUUUGCUGGCCAGACCUCCCAAGUGUUCUUGCCAGGUCACCAGAACGCAAAUUAUUACUUCCAAUCUCAUAUGAAGCAUUAUAUGUUGUCUCAAGCAAAUCUCCACCACUGAGCUUGCUUCCAGGUUUUGGAGAAAUGAUCUUUGUUCUGCCAAUGUCAGAGUAAUUGUAUGUUUCUUGCAACUUAGGGCUGGCCACUGCAUUACGAAAUUCAACUGUGUCUUUAUCAAUAACUUCACCUAAUGGCGAUGCUCUAUCUGCUCCAGGGCUUAACCUUGAAAGGGCUUGGGUGACCUCUUCAACACUUCGAUCUGGUAUGAAGUCAGGGUCUGUUAAGUUCUUUCUUAUAUCCAUACAUCUAUUAUCCAGUGCUAAUGAUUUAGUCUUAAUAGCUAGAUCUUCCUCAAUCCUUGCCAGAUCUCUCUCAAGACUCUCCAGGGCACUUUCUGCUGUCUGGAGUUUUUCAACCAAUGCCUUGAUAGACCCGUCAAUUUCUGCCACUUCAUAGCAAAGCUGAUACUGUGGGAUAUCCCUACAAAGUUCAACAUUUGGUCGUCGAGUUCGGUUUUCAAGUCUUGUUUGUGCUACCUUCAAUGAAAAAAACAUGUUUGUCAACAAAACAAAUUAAACAAGUUUGGUUUACAAAGCACAGGGCUUUUUGUUCAUGCACAAGAAAUUUCUGAUACUGCAUUUUCAUUCUGAAAUAAAAAGUUUGAUUCAUCAAGAGAAACAGUUUGCAGAAACUUGAACGCAAGUGACUAGGUUACACCUUGGAUCAGAAUAAGUUUCAAUGCUUACAUAAACAUCAUAUGUGUUCAAUGAAAUGAUUAGAUUAUACUAAACGUACCUUCAUGGGUGCCAUCUUUGCUUCUAUUGAUUCCCUGAGUCCCCUGAUAUCAUCAAGCAAAACAGCUAUUUCUUCUUUGGUCUAAAUUUAAGUAGAUAAAAAUAAACAGUUUUAAUUGAUAAUAUUGAAGCAAACAUUUGAACAAGUAUCACAAAUCUUGUUUGGAAUUGAAGUAGUAUUAUAUUUCUUGUGUUCCCUGGCAUAUAGUACAUAAGUUGUUGACAAUUUCCCAGUUGACUAUUUGGUAUUUUGAAUCAAGCAACUCUGUUAAGAACUCAUUAUUAUCUAUUAUGACCACCGCUAUAUACCUAUCGCUAAUCAUGCUGUUUACUAUUCUGUUAUAUUAUGCCUAGUGCAUAGCUCUGGUCUUGUGAUCCUGACGCUUGCACAGCAAUAUAUCUACUUUUAGAAUUUGUAAUGUUCUCGAUUGCUUCUUCAUGUUAUGUUCAGAUACAAGUUGUGUUUGCUUUACACUGUUAUCUUAAUAAACUCUUGCUCUGCUAUCUCAUUUCCUAAGGUACAAAGCAAAACACAGGUCUAGCCAAAUACCAAUACUAUUAUCAAGGUGCAUUAGGACAGCAAUAGAUUCUAGAGCAAAUAACAAUAUUAGAAAUGGCCUAUUGAUAUACUCACGUUUCUUUGCUGCCAUUCAAGUUCAUUUUUGGCUUGCUUUGUUUCAUGCAUUCUUUUCCUAUAGCUGUAUUCAGUGGCCCUUCUCUGGGCUUCCAAAUCAUUCUUUGUUUUCUCCAGGGUUGCAAAUAUAGCUUCUCUCAGUCUCUCUGCUGCUUUCAUUUCUGCCUCAGCCCUGAGUUUGUUGUACUGUGAAUGGGCAUCCCACGUUUCAGGAGUGACAACACCCUUCAUGAUGCGUGUUGGGUUCACUUGAAAAUCAAUAUCUGCUGAGCCAUUGUGCAGCCCUGCACAAUGAUUAUCAAUCUCAAGUGCAACAUGUUUAUCAGUGACAUCACAGUGCAUCUGAUGGUAUGCUUCUUCAAGCAAGCUGGAAACAAAGUAAAGAUUGAUAAACCAUUUUAAUUCAAGUGGGUACAACCUUUAUUUACAGAAAAGACAUGAUACAUUUCAAGUUACAUUAGCAAUGGUGUGUGGAAAGUAUAUAACUAUUUUGCUGAAAAUUAUGUGAAUUUGGCAGUCUGAUAUGAUUUUUUUUAAUAGUGCACUUAUUGCUAGAAAUUCUACUUUUGCUUUAAAUUCAAUGCUUUGUUGUACAGAAAAAACACAUAUUUGGGCAAUAAUUUGAUGUUUCAAACCCAUCCAAGGCUUUCUAAGGCAACAAGAAUAGAUAUGUUUAUCACAAUUUCAAUAAACAGUUCAAUCUCCUAUUUCCAAAUGUGGUCAUUAUAAAUCAUAAUUGGUCAAACAGCCACAGGUGAAUUUGAUCAAAUUUGCAGGUCUUUUAGAUAACUGAAAUAAACGUCUUCAGGGAAAAGCAACAACCCAAAUUGUUAUAUUGAAACAGAAUGUGUGAACUCAGUCUUACCAUAACUGUUCAAAAGCUUCUGUUAUCUUUUGCUGAAGCAAAGCUUUUAUUCCCUCAAUCACUUCCACUUCCUGAAAUUUAGAAAUAAUCAAAUAAGAAUUGUAAUUCAUCUGAACUAGACACUGUGAAUAAUAUAGAUAGAUAUUGUACUAAUAUACUUUUAUAUAAAUACCUUGUGGAGCUGUUCUUCGACCUCAUCUCUCACUAAAUCGAUUCCAUCUCUGUUUUCUCGGAGCAUCAAACAUUCAAUUGCCACAUUCAGUGGCAGUUUCUUAGCAUCAAGAGCUCUUUCAGUUUUCUCUUUCUCAGCUUGAAGUGCAGUAAUCUCCCUUUGUGUAUCAUCAAGACAUCGCUCUAAAGCUUCUCUCCACUCGUUUAUAUCGUCGAUCCUCUUUUCAAGCUUUGUGUUACUGUCAUGUUGGGUCCAUCUUGUGUGGUUAUCAGUUUCAUUGCGAAGCCUUCUUGCCUCUUGUCUCACGUCAUGCGAAGCAUUCCUAAGUCGCUCUGCAUUUGUUCUCAAAAUCUUGUUUGAAGUGUGCCAGUCUGACACAGCAUAUCUUGGUGGGACCUUCUUCGAUGCCAAAGCCAUGUUAUUCCCGUUCCUUCUUCUUCCAAAUGUUGGUGAAAGUGUUUUCGGGUGAGUGUUUUACGUUCUUUUGUUAUGUAUCCAUGACAAUUCCAUAGUGACAAGCACGAGUAAACCUCUGCUUAAUGGGGAGGCUGUAAAUAUUGUAACGAGGCAAAACGGACAUGGAGAUGAUUCUUGCUUAUUCGAAACGUUAGAAAACAGAAAUACAAUCCACCAGCAAUUCAAAAUGGUUUUUUACUUCACGUGUAAUGUUACAAGUCCACCAAUAACAAUUUAUGUGGGAAGAGACAAAUAUGAAAAUGAAGAUUUAAUAAAAUGGGGUUGGCCAGAGGAUGUUUCAUGUGGAUAAAUUGUCAUCUGCUCACAUUUAUCUAAGGAUGCCAGAGGGAAUGACAGUUGAUGACAUACCACCUGAUGUCCUUACAGACUGUGCACAAUUAACAAAAGCCAAUAGCAUUCAAGGGUGCAAAAUGAAUGAUGUCGCUAUUGUAUAUACACCUUGGUCAAAUCUAAAGAAAACUGGUGAUAUGGAUGUUGGGCAAGUUGGAUUUCAUAAAAAUAAGUUGGUAA